AUUACGAGCAAUGCUUAAAACCCAAAGGAUUUGACGGUGUCCCACCCCACUAGAGGAGCCUGUUCUAUAAUCGAUGAUCCCCGCUUCACCUAACCACUCCUUGCUCAUCAGUCUGUAUACCUCCGUCGAAAGCUUACCAUGUGAAUGCCCGCAGUAGGCUUAAUGAUUCACCAUCAAUACGUCAGUCAAGGUGCAACUUAAGGAAUGGUAAUGGGCUACAAUUUCUAACUUAGAACAAACGAAAGACUAUUGAAAUCCUAGUCAUGAAGGUGGAUUUAGUAGUAAAAAGAAACUAGAGUGUUCUUUUUAACCCGGCUCUGGGACGCGUACACACCGCCCGUCACCCUCUUCGAUAGUAUAUAUUCAUGUCUUUAACCCACCAUUACAUUUUAGAAGAGGCAAGUCGUAACAUGGUAA
rnacentral:rRNA from 1 species